CAUAUACUCCCUCCGUUCGGAAUUACUUGUCUCGAAAAUAGAUGUAUCUAGAACUAAAAUACGUCUAGAUACAUCCAUUUCUGCGACAAGUAAUUCCGAACGGAGGGAGUAAUAU
rnacentral:pre_miRNA from 1 species